rnacentral:rRNA from 1 species
UACGUAGGGUGCAAGCGUUAAUCGGAAUUACUGGGCGUAAAGCGUGCGCAGGCGGUUGUGCAAGACCGAUGCGAAAUCCCCGGGCUUAACCUGGGAAUGGCAUUGGUGACUGUACGGCUAGAGUGUGUCAGAGGGGGGUAGAAUUCCACGUGUAGCAGUGAAAUGCGUAGAGAUGUGGAGGAAUACCGAUGGCGAAGGCAGCCCCCUGGGAUAACACUGACGCUCAUGCACGAAAGCGUGGGGAGCAAACAGG